rnacentral:rRNA from 1 species
AUACGGAGGGUGCGAGCGUUAAUCGGAAUUACUGGGCGUAAAGCGUACGUAGGCGGUUGGUUAAGUUAGAUGUGAAAGCCCCGGGCUUAACCUGGGAACUGCAUUUAAAACUGGCGGACUAGAGUUGAGUAGAGGGGAGUGGAAUUUCAGGUGUAGCGGUGAAAUGCGUAGAGAUCUGAAGGAACACCAGUGGCGAAGGCGACUCCCUGGACUCGAACUGACGCUGAGGUACGAAAGCGUGGGUAGCAAACGGGAUUAGAAACCCGGGUAGUCC